AUGUCGCGAGUUUCGUUUUUGCUUUAUCCGCCGAUCACAUUGUAUAUUACAGGUGAAGAGGUAGUUUUGCAAUCGUUCCCAUCUCAGACUCCGAGUGAACGGAAGACCGUAUCAAUACGCUGUCACGCAACUAUCUCAUUCUCUGCGGUAUACUGGUUCGUGCAAGCUCCGAAUCAGAGCCCAAAAAUGUUGGUCAUGGCGACGGGAAGCGAAACGGUGAAUAAUGGCAGAUUUAGAGCUGUCAGUCGAAGUGAAGAGAAAAGCAGCUCUCUGAUAAUAUCGAGCUUACAUCUAACAGACACCGGAACCUACUUUUGUGCUUUACUCACAGUGUGGAAAGGAGCGACAGAGUCCGCACAAAAACCUCGUCUGCUAUGA